UAUGCUAGUAACUUUAUAUCAGAUGGUGCUAGUCUGAGGCGUCUAUUAAUGAAAAAUAACUGUUUUAGUGCGGUUGCCGUGACUUUGUUAACGUGAGCAUCCCAUCUGAGGUCAGAGGUUAGUAAUAUGCCUAGGUAUUUGUAUUCACAGACAGAAACGAGAGGGAUGCUGUUUAGUGUGUACUGAAAGAGUGAUCUAUGUUUUUUCCUAGUUACAGAUAAUACAACAGAUUUAUUAACGUUAAUAGUCAUCUGCCAAUCUUCCCACCAUUUGGUUACUGAUGCUAUGGCGUUAUUUAAAGCUAUAUGGUCGUGCGCACUGGCAAGGUUUUGUCUGGUCUUGCAGGAGUCCCAGGUGCUUUUUCCGCCGCGUACACUGUCGCAAUCGUUACACGUCUGAGGAACCAGACUGGCGGCGCAUAGGUAAAGCCCGCUGCCAGUGCAAGCCACAGUCCCCUACCUUGUCGCUAUAAAGAGGAAAUUUGUGCGUGUACUAAGUGUACGCAACGUUUCUUUGUUUAGUAUAAUUGGGCAGUGCCUCCAGCAGACAAAAUGUGGAUCCCGUACUGCUCCGUCGGUUUGGGCUCGGGAAUGCCUCCGCGUGGCGGGCGCUUUUAAGAGGACGCUUUAGCUUGGGUGUUCCAAUCUAAAUACAUGUAAACGGAGUAUUCGUUUUUCUCGGCAACCGCUGCACCAAAUUUGACGAGGUUCGUUACAUUUAAAACAAAAGCUUAGAAUCUAGAAUUUCUGCUUGGUACACAAAAGAUUUAAGCGAAACAAUUGAAGCAAAGCGGGGCAUGAUGCUUUCAGUGCCCAAUUUUUUAGAGAACAUGUAGUUUUCCAUUAUAAAGGGGACUGUAAUGCGAUGUCUUUAAGUAGGUGGUUGUCUUAUAUUCAGAGUCGACUUAUGUUUCAAUAUGAGCGGGAAUGAAGUGUUACGCAAUUCUUUUAACGAAAUUUACCUCUGCUGUUUAGUUUCCAUAUUGUGCGUAGAAGCAACAGUGCGUGCACUUUCAGCUGCUCAGUUUAUCUUCAAUGCUGCUCUCAUUUUGUAGAGUUCAUCACAUGUGCCUUUGCAACACAUUGGCGGAGGCAAAACGAACUGCAUUUCUCGCUAGCUGGACAAGUCGGAAUGGCAGUGCAUCUUGGAGAACAAGACUCGAAUUGUGAAAGUCUGGUGGUUUUCACCAAGUUUCACAGAACAUUGUUUUAUGUCAAGAUGGGCUGACACCAUGUCACCUGAUGCUGUCACUCCCUGGUCAGCUCUUUGCAAGGACAUGGUGCUAUGCAGGCUUCAGCUGCUGAAUAGGCAAGAUUACAUUUCUGAAGUACGCUACACGAUUAUAUUACAUUUGAAGAGGCAAGAUUACAUAUUUAAGUGUUUCAA